UCUCUUACAGAAAAUGCGAAGCAGUUUGGUGACCUGGUUUUAAAUCCAACAUUGAGGUCAAUAAAUGUUCACAUGGAAGACGAUACGAAACUGAAGGCCACCCAUUUAUGUUCUUGUAUUGCGAGAGCAGAAUGCUACAGCAGCGAUUCAUGAGCUUCCAAGAUUAACACAUAUGCAUGCUUUUGGCUGAAGAAAUACAUGAAUCAUUGAAUAUUUUAAAAAUCAAGAAACCCUCAGCCGUUACUACUACUAAUAUUACUAGUACUACUAUUACGACGACAACGGUGACUACUACUACUACUACUACUACUACUACUACUACUAAUACUACUACCAUUACUACUACUAGCAUUACUACUACUGCUGCUGCUGCUGCUUCUACUAUUACUACUCCUACUGCUGCUUUACUUUUUCAUAUGCAUUUUAGCAAAACAUGAGGAGGCAAAAAUGGAACCCUUAGUCCUAAAUUCUACAAUUAAACUUUGUUGAUUCCUAAUUAUUAUUCUAUAAGGGUCUCACAGUGAGUAUAUUUAUAUUUAAUAACUUGGGCUCGUUGGUUUUAUAUAAAAGAAAAUUUAAACGGAAGAAAAACUGCAAAAAUAAAAAUAAAGAGAAACAUUUCUGUAGUAUCGGAAAUCUACAAACGAAAUUUGGAACUCCGAGCCAUAAAUGUGAUAUGAAAAGAUAAAGGAAAUAUCUAAUAAUAAUAAACGGCAGUUGACUGAAAACAAAUUGUAAUGUUAUAAAAAGCGCUUGUUUUAAAUAAAGUAUUUUGUGCCAAAUAU